UACGGGGGGGGUAAGCGUUGUUCGGAAUUACUGGGCGUAAAGGGCUCGUAGGCGGCCAACUAAGUCAUACGUGAAAUCCCUCAGCUUAACUGGGGAACUGCGUGUGAUACUGGAUGGCUUGGAUUUGGGAGAGGGAUGCGGAAUUCCAGGUGUAGCGGUGAAAUGCGUAGAUAUCUGGAGGAACACCGGUGGCGAAGGCGGCAUCCUGGACCAAUAUUGACGCUGAGGAGCGAAAGCUAGGGGAGCAGACGGG
rnacentral:rRNA from 1 species